rnacentral:rRNA from 1 species
GACGAACCGUGCGAACGUUAUUCGGAAUCACUGGGCUUAAAGCGCGUGUAGGCGGGACGGCACGUCGGUCGCUGAAAUCCCCCGGCUCAACCGGGGAACGGGCACCGAUACGACCGUCCUGGAGGGACGUAGGGGGACCUGGAACUUCCGGUGGAGCGGUGAAAUGCGUAGAGAUCGGAAAGAACACCAACGGCGAAAGCACUCUGCUGGGCCGACACUGACACUGAGAGACGAAAGCUAGGGGAGCGAAUGGG